UUUAAAGAAAAAGAUGAAAUGAAUAAUAGGGCAAGUUGUGCAUCUCAGACUUGGGAGGUGGCUGUCCUGAGGAUUAAUGGGGCAACAUUAACCUCAUGAAGUGUCUACAUGGACAACGUGCCCGGUGUGGUUACAAAUAAACCAAUCAGCACAGAUCCUGGGUGGAAAGCAGGGCGCAGUCACGGAAGCGCAGUAGGGGUGCAGACUUGAAGGUUUUCAAGAGGUGAGCUCCGAGGGCAUGAAGCUCCACAGAGAGACUGUCAACCCGCCUGGGAGCGCGGGGAACAGUGAAGGUUGCCGGCCAGGGAGAAUACAGGAUAGAGAGGUCUCCGGGUUUGCAGCCAGCCUGCCUCAGAUGGGGUCCCAGGAUACGACCAUGGUGCAUUUGCCUGUCCCCGAUGUGUGGGAUAGAGGGUCCUAGAGUAACUCAGCCCUCAUAAGCAUAUGGCUCAGUGACAUCGUGGAGCCGACAUGGGCUGACCUGGCUCUCAGAGGCCCCAGAAUAAAGCCAGAGCCCCCGGGGUCCACCUGCCGGCAUGACCAUGGGGCAGGGGAGCGAAGCUGAGCUGGGCUGGCCACCUGGAAACACUGUCCCCUCCCACCAGGCCUCUGCACCCAGCCUCUUCUUUGUCUAGCAGGCUCCUCACUCCCCUACAACAGCCGCUCCUGCCACCACUUGCAUGGUUGUUUUUGAGAAUUCCCUGUGUGUUGUGUUAUUUUCUAAAAUAAAUAACUUGUUCACUGCA
rnacentral:lncRNA from 1 species